UUCUUACAGUGACUAAUUAGUUUGUUCACACACUUCUGGAUGUUUUCAAAUAACUUUGCCACCCCUUGGUGUGAGCUUGACUAUGAGAAGAGAAACACAUACAUGGCAAAAAGUCCUCACAACUUUGGAUCCUCAUGCUCUUCUGUUUCCUCCUGCAAAAAGGAUCACUCUUCAGUGCUCACUUCCUGUCUGAUUCUCUUCCCUCUGAUGCCCAGCUGAUGACUCUUUGCAGUACCCAGGGGACCCAAUUCAUUACAACAAGCCCACAGACAGAACUCAGAGACUGGUUGACCAGUGCUUCCCACAUGUGAGGACCUGGGUAUGGGAGGCAAUGGACAGGGAGGAUCGAGAAGCAAGAUGAGCCCUGACUCCUCCCACUCUACUCAUCAGCCAAAGUAGCUGAUCAGGCGUGCAUUGGGGAGAAAGCUACUCCAUAGAAAGGGGUGAAGUUACUCACUGGCCCUUCAA